rnacentral:rRNA from 1 species
CCCUAUGGGGUGCAGCAGGCGGGAAACCUUUACAAUGCACGAAAGUGCGAUAAGGGUAUCCUAAGUACUUACACUUUGUGUAAGCUUUUGCCAAGAGUAAAUAUCUUGGCGAAUAAGUAAUGGGAAAGACUGGUGCCAGCCGCCGCGGUAACACCAGCGUCACAAGUGGCAAUCGCAAUUAUUGGGUCUAAAGCGCCCGUAGCUGGUUUAGUUAGUUCUUUGUGAAAUCAUUAAAGUCAACUUAAUGGCGUGCAAAGAAUACUAAUUAGACUUGGGACUGGGAGAAGUCAAAGGAAUUCCUUGGGAAGCGGUAAAAUGUUAUAAUCCUUGGAGGACCACCAAUGGCGAAAGCAUUUGACUAGAACAGCUCCGACGGUGAGGGACGAAAGCUAGGGGAUCAAACCGGAUUAGAUACCCGAGUAGUCCUAGCAGUAAACUCUGCAAGUUAGGCGUUGCAUAAUCUCCAAGAUUAUGCAGUGUCGUAGCGAAGGCGUUAAACUUGCCACCUGGGAAGUACGGCCGCAAGACUGAAACUUAAAGGAAUUGGCGGGGGAGCACCACAAGAGGUGCUACGUGCGGUUCAAUUUGAUUCCACACGGGAAAUCUCACUAGAAGCGACGGCAAAAUGAAAGUCAGGCUGAAGACCUUACUUGAUGAGCCGAGAAGAGGUGCAUGGCCAAGGCGAUUU